GUUGUGAUUUACUUUCAAUUUAGUAUCUUUGAACCAUUGAGUACAGC
rfam:Bacteroides pyogenes JCM 6292 DNA, contig:contig_12.